rnacentral:misc_RNA from 1 species
CCGAGUUUACAACUCCCAGACCCCUGUGAACAUACCACUUGUUUGCCUCGGCGGAUCAGCCCGCUCCCGGUAAAACGGGACGGCCCGCCAGAGGACCCCUAAACUCUGUUUCUAUAUGUAACUUCUGAGUAAAACCAUAAAUAAAUCA